rnacentral:rRNA from 1 species
CGUAGGGUGCGAGCGUUAAUCGGAAUUACUGGGCGUAAAGCGUGCGCAGGCGGUUUUGUAAGCCAGAUGUGAAGUCCCCGGGCUUAACCUGGGAAUGGCAUUUGGGACUGCAAGGCUUGAGUGCGGCAGAGGAGACUGGAAUUCCUGGUGUAGCAGUGAAAUGCGUAGAUAUCAGGAGGAAUACCGAUGGCGAAGGCAGGUCUCUGGGCUGACACUGACGCUCAUGCACGAAAGCGUGGGGAGCAAACAGGAUUAGAUACCCUGGUAGUCCACGCCCUAAACGAUGUCGACUGGUUGUUGGGGGUUUGACACUCUCAGUAACGAAGCUAACGCGUGAAGUCGACCGCCUGGGGAGUACGGCCGCAAGGUUA